GUGAAGACAGCUAGGUGUAGGUUGUAAAAAGAAAACGAUUACGCUUGAAGAAACUACGGAUGUCGAAGAAUACACUUUGUGUUCAGAGCUUGCUUUGUGAAGAUCUGCUCGAGUGUGAUCCGCACGAAUACAAGCGCCUACUGCGCGUCAGCAGCACGCAGUUUUUCGAACUUCUCGCCCGCGUUCAACAUACAAUCGAGUGGCAAGAAACCAUCGUGAGACCAUCUGUGCCAGCGAAGACACGGCUUCAAAUCACUCUUCGCUUUCUCGCCGCAGGAGAAACGCACUACUCUUAAGCUGACAGUUCAGGGAGGACACUCAACUGUCAACCAGCUCAUAAAAGAGACAUGUGUGGCAAUCUGCCUGGAGCUGAAAGACGAAUUCUUGAAGACCCCCAAGACUGACGGAGAGUGGUCUAGAGCCAUGCAAGACAUCAAAGAAAAGUGGCAGUUCCCCAAUUGUAUUGGUGCUAUAGAUGGAAAACAUGUGUGCAUCAUCAAGCCAAAUAUUCAGGCUCUUUGUAUUUCAACUACAAUAAAACCUUCAGCAUAGUGCUA